CCUGACGUGGACGCUAGCCCCGAAGAUUAAGCCAUGCAAGCCUGCGAAUGUUGAAACAGUGAACGGCUCAGUACAACGCGCCUAUCUACCCACAGAGCAACAUAACCACGGAAACCUGUGGCUAAGGUUGUGGAUGAGGGCGUGACCUAUCAGCUAGACGGUACGGUAAGUGCGUACGGAGGCUAUGACGGGUAACGGGGAAUAUGGGUUUUAUUCCGGAGAGGGAGCCUGAGAGAUGGCUGCCACGUCCAAGGACGGCAGCAGGCGCGAAACUUACCCAAUGAACAUUGAGGUAGUUACGGGGCGUACUUGAUGAGCUGUGCGUAAAGAGCAGGGUGAACGACUGGAGGGCAAGUCUGGUGCCAGCAGCCGCGGUAAUACCAGCUCCAGUAGCGUCUGUGUUUAUUGCUGCGGUUAAAACGUGCGUAGUCUGGUCUGUGGCCUGAGUCAUACCGUGCUGGGGGAUUCCAGGAACCUAGGCCUUGAGACGGGGAGGGGGUAAUGAUAUUUGGUAGCGAGAGGUGAAAAUCGAUGACCUACCAAGGAGCACCAGAGGCGAAAGCGAUUACCAGGAACCGGUCUGACGAUCAAGCGCGUGAGCAGGAGUAUCGAAGAGGAUUAGAGACCCACGUAGUUCCUUGCAGUCAACGAUGCCUACGGCGUGGUGCGUGGCACUGCGCGAGCGAAAGCUAGUGUAUGGGCUCCGGGGAUAGUACGGACGCAAGUUUGAAACUUGAAGAAAUUGACGGAAGGACACCACAAGGAGUGGAGUGUGCGGGUUAAUUUGACUCAACGCGGGAAAUCUUACCCGGGCAGGCGGCAGUCGUGGGAUGGCUUGCCAGAUGACGCCGCGCGUGGUGCAUGGCCGUUCUUAACACGUGGAGUGAUCUGUCUGGUUAAAUCCGGUAACGUGUGAGAGGUGUAACUGGGUACUAGGCGUAGCCCAAUAAGGCGAAGCAGUGUGCCCGGUGACUAUGUGUGCGAACACAGGGAGGUGACACCCCAUAACAGGUCUGUGAUGCCCGUANAUGUCCGGGGCUCCACGCGCACUAC
rnacentral:rRNA from 1 species